GACGAACGCUGGCGGCGUGCUUAACACAUGCAAGUCGAACGGAAAGGCCCUGCUUUUGUGGGGUGCUCGAGUUGCGAACGUGUGAGUAACACGUGAGUAACCUGCCCUUGACUUUGGGAUAACUUCAGGUAACUGUGGCUAAUACCGGAUAGGUGCUCCUGCUUCAUGGUUUUUGUUGGUCCGUUUCGGCGGUUGGGGAUUGACUCGCGGCUUAUCAGCUUGUUUGUUGGGUAGUGGCUUACCAAGGCUUUGACGGGUAGCCGGCAUGAGAGGGUUACCGGGAAAAAGGGGACUGAGAGACGGCAAAGAAGACAACGGGAGGCAGGAGUGGGGAAAAUUGCAGAAUGGGAGGAAGCGUGAUGAAGAAACGACGCGAGGGGGAUGACGGCCAUCGGGUAGUAAACCGCUAAAGCCUGUGACGAAGCGAGAGUGACGGUAAUGGGUAAAGAAGCACCGGCUAACUACGUG
rnacentral:rRNA from 1 species